CACUCAUAUACACACUAAGCCUCUCUCUUGCUCUCACUUUGUGGUAUUCUGGUGAGAAUGUGCUGAAGAUUUUGUCUGUUUCUCCUUCUUUGGUUUGUUGACCUUAUGGAAGAUCAAUCCAGGCGGAGUUCUGUCUGUCUGGACACAUUAUAAUGGAUUAGAGAUUAUGCUGAUGUUGAGUGUGGCUUCAUGACUGCAGGAUUAUCUCUGAAGUGGGUGUGGAUGUGUGUGCGCGCAUGUACGGAGAUCCCGAGCUAAGUUGAGCUGAUGCAGUGUGUUAUACAGUGGGCAUGGAGGAACGUCGUGCCCUGAAGGGGUGUGGCUGUUCAAACCUCUUUCAGAAAGUUUUGGCCACGUGUGAAUGCUACUCCAUCAGAGAUCAAGAGUCUUUCUCAGGACUCACUGAUGUCACUCCAGACACUUCUGCCCACUUUGUUCCCCCUGGUGACCUAUCUCCCAUCUCCUCUGGUGACCACUGGCCAGCAGCCCCAAGCACUCAAACCCCCUCAUCUCCCCAGCACUCUGUCAAAGCUCUGAGGCAGUGGCUGAGUGGCCCCUUCUGCAGGUUCAGCCUGGGACAAAGGAGCAAAGGCCAGAGGCCAGAGGUCAGAAAUAACCCAGAUCGACGGCCCUUCCCGUUUGUGCCGCUCUCACACAGCUAUAGUACAGUGAGCACUGCGCAGGAGUCCAGUUGCCAGUCACCUACAGAUGGACCACCGGAAUUGAACGGGGCUUCAGAAGUCAAAGUAGCUGAUGAUUCAGUUUAUCCCAGCCACAUAACUGAUCUCAUACAGAACCAUCAUUCCUGCCAACUGCUCCCUGGUGAAGGCAGUUCCUCUGUGACUGAUGAGAAAUUCAGCCAAUCAGUGGGUCUUGAAGACAGUGAAGAGGACAGAAAGAAUGCCUUAGAAAAAAGCAUAUAUGUUCUAUCAGAGCUGGUAGAGACAGAAAGGCUAUAUGUGGAAGAUCUAGGCCUCAUAGUUGAGGGCUACAUGGCCACUAUGAGUAACAGUGGAGUUCCAGAGUAUAUGAAAGGCAAAGAUAAAAUAGUAUUUGGAAAUGUUCACCAAAUCUAUGACUGGCAUAAGGACUACUUCCUUGGUGAACUGAAGAAGUGUGUGUCUAAUCCAGAGCAGCUGGGGCAGCUCUUCAUCAAACAUGAGCGGCGUCUUCACAUGUACGUGGUGUACUGCCAAAACAAGCCCAAGUCUGAGUGCAUUGUCUCAGAGUACAUAGACACCUAUUUUGAGGAUUUAAGACAGCAGUUGGGCCACAGGCUGCAGCUGAAUGACCUGCUGAUUAAACCUGUUCAGAGGAUCAUGAAGUAUCAGCUUCUACUCAAGGACUUCUUGAAGUAUUAUGUUAAAACAGGGAAACACACAGAAGAACUUGAGAGCGCGGUUGAGGUGAUGUGUUUUGUUCCUAAGCGAUGUAAUGAUAUGAUGAAUGUUGGGAGACUGCAAGGUUUUGAGGUGAGCGAAAAGAAACACUUCCCUUGUUUUUUCCCUACAUUUGUCUCACAGCGCUUCAAGAAACACAUAAGCAAGUCUAUUUGA
ensembl:lncRNA